AUGUGCUAGUUCUGAUGGUGGACUUUUUAAAGAAUUUUGACAAAGAUGGUAAAAUUGUUGAAGGUUAAAAAAACAUUUGAGAGGAAAAAUAUCGGUCCUCAUGAGAUGCAUACCAAUUGAACAAAUCUCCCUGAUUUGAAUCUGUCUAUUGAACAGGCUAGGAGAGAAGAUCAGUGAGUGUAUGAAGAUUCUCCAAGAUCUGGUUCCUGGAUGUAAUAAGGUGGCGACAGCACUAUAACCUCUGAUCUCGAACUCCUUGGUGGUCUAAAUUGAUUGCAUUGUGGAAUAUGCAUCCAUUAUUCAAAGAAAGGGCGACCUUCUAAGCACUCUCACUCUCUCCUUGCUAGCUAAAUUGGUGAAUUCUGUGAAGUUCCACGAGUAUGGAUCCGUGGUAGUAUCAGAAGGGUAUGAUCGUUCAGUGCGUGCAUGGGACUGCAGAUCUCUCAGCGUGAUGUCUAUUUGUUUGACAAAAAGUGAAAUUCUUGCUGGAAGCGUUGGUGGAACUGCUCACACAUUUGACAUUCGUAUUGGUAGAGAGCUUGUUGAUGACUUGGGACAGCCUGUCAACUGCAUUUCGAUAUCAAACGACGGAAACUGCAUGCUAGCAAGUUGCUUAGAUUCUACUCUUACCUUUUGGAUAGGAAAUAUCCUUUUUAUUUUUUUCAGAUUAAACCUUAUUGUAUGUUCUUCUGGUA